GGGGUUGUAACUCAGCUAGGCAGAGUAUGACACUUUUAAUGUCAGAGUCGCAGGUUCGAUUCCUGCCAGCCCCA
rnacentral:tRNA from 1 species